ACGGUCACAGAGCCUCAGAGGGUCACAGCAGGUUAUACGCAAAGAGGAGGCUGCCUUUGCUAAAAUAUGCCUCCUGAGGGUUUGACUUCACAGCAAAAUAUUGACAAGAUCCACGGCAAUGUCCGAUGACAGUAACAUCAUACCCUCCUAAUCGGGGACGAUCUUGUAGACAAAUCUACCAAUGAUUGAUCCGACUUUCUCAACUGCCAAAAUCACUCAGGAUGGGAAGAGGAGAGGACUGAUUUUUAAUACUGUAUUGGAAUUGUUGAGUGUGG